rnacentral:rRNA from 1 species
UAAAGCUACUAAGAGCUAAUGGAGAAUGCCUUGGUACUGACAGCCGACGAAGGACGUGUAAAGCUGCGAUAAGCUUCGGGGAGUUGCUAAAAGACCUUGAUCCGAAGAAUUCCGAAUGGGGAAACCCUGCAAGGUUAAAACCUUGUAAUCCAUAGAUGAAUACAUAGUCUAUGCGAAGGAAAGCCUGUGAACUGAAACAUCUUAGUAACAGGACGAAAAGAAAAUAACCAAAUGAUUCCGAAAGUAGCGGCGAGCGAAAUUGGAAGAGCCUAAACAAUAUGUACGUGAUAGACUGCAAUCGUUGUGCAUAUUGGGUUGUGGGACUUACGGUAUAAUUUGCAGAUUAUACAAAGAGUUACAAAAUUAUUUAUUAGCUAAAUACAACUGGGAAGUUGAGCCAUAGCGGGUGAUAGCCCCUUAAGCGACAAUAAAUAAUCUCUUGUAAGUAUCCCGAGUAAGGCGGGGCACGUGAAACCCUGUCUGAAUCCACCGGGACCAUCCGGUAAGGCUAAAUACUAGUCAGUGACCGAUAGUGAACGAGUACAGUGAUGGAAAGGCGAAAAGAACAGUGAGAAGCUGAGUGAAAUAGACCCUGAAACCGUUAGCUUACAAUCAGUCAGAGCACUAUUAAUAGUGUGAUGGCGUGCCUGUUGAAGAAUGAGCCGGCGAGUUAUCUUAUGUUGCGAGGUUAAGGAGUUAACAUCCGGAGCCAUAGCGAAAGCGAGUUUGAAUAGAGCGUUAAGUAACCUGAGAUAGACCCGAACCUUGGUGAUCUAACCUUGACCAGGAUGAAGCGUGGGUAACACUACGUGGAGGUCCGAACCGACUGAUGUUGAAAAAUCAGCGGAUGAGUUGAGGUUAGGGGUGAAAUGCCAAUCGAACCAAGAGCUAGCUGGUUCUCCCCGAAAUGCGUUUAGGCACAGCGUCAGAAUUAUCUUACAGGAGGUAGAGCACUGGUUUUGUGCGGGCGACGAAAUGUUGUACCAAACAAUGUCAAACUCCGAAUGCCUGUAAUGUUACUAUCUGGCAGUGAGGCUAUGAGUGAUAAGAUCCAUGGCCAAGAGGGAAACAGCCCAGAACGCCAGUUAAGGUCCCUAAUAUAUGCUAAGUGGUUAAGGAGGUAGAGUUGCUGAGACAACCAGGAGGUUGGCUUAGAAGCAGCCAUCCCUUGAAAGAGUGCGUAAUAGCUCACUGGUCAAGCGACUCCGCGCCGAAAAUACACCGGGACUCAAGCAUAUAACCGAAACUGCGUCAUAUAGUUUACUAUAUGGGUAGGGGAGCGUUCUGUUGUAGGAUGAAGUAAGAUCGAAAGGACUUAUGGACGAAGCAGAAGUGAGAAUGUCGGCAUAAGUAGCGAAAACAUUGGUGAGAAUCCAAUGCACCGUAAACCUAAGGUUUCCCCUGGCAGGCUCGUCCGCGGGGGGUUAGUCGGAACCUAAGCUGAGGCCGAAAGGCGUAGGCGAUGGACAUCAGGUUGAUAUUCCUGAACUAUCUGGUAAUCGUUAUCAGAUGCGGAGGGACGCAGGAGGAUAGGCACGCAGCCGACUGGAAGAGGCUGUUUAAGCGUGUAGCUAGUUUGAGUAGGAAAAUCCGCUCAGGCGUUAUGACGUGAGGCGUAAUGAGGAGGAUCUACGGAUCCGAAGGUGUUGACUCCACACUGCCAAGAAAAACUUCGCACUCGAGAUUAUCCGGUAUCCGUACCGUAAACCGCCACAGGUAGGUUAGUAGAAAAUACUAAGGUGCGCGAGACAACUCUCGCUAAGGAACUCGGCAAAAUCACCUCGUAACUUCGGGAGAAGAGGUACCCUGGUAGAGUGAAGCGAUUUACUCGUGGAGCUUGAUAGGGUCGCAGUGAAUAGGCCCAUGCGACUGUUUACCAAAAACACAGGUCUCUGCUAAGUCGAUCAAGACGAUGUAUAGGGGCUGACGCCUGCCCGGUGUCGGAAGGUUACGUGGAAGGGUUAGACUUCGGUCGAAGCUCUGAAACUAAGCCCCGAUGAACGGCGGCCGUAACUAUAACGGUCCUAAGGUAGCGAAAUUCCUUGUCAGGUAAGUUCUGACCCGCACGAAUGGCGU